rnacentral:rRNA from 1 species
AUGCCGGUGGAAGUGGAGGAGAGAGGAAUGUACCCCAGGCUAAUCGGCGGAACGAGAAAAGGGCUGUUGAGCGGGUCUUGUGUAGUUCUGUUGAUCCUGAUGAUGGUGAGGAAGUCGAGAUUGAAGUUGGAGAUGAAGGAAAUGUUCCCCAACGACGUUCAUAGGCUGGGAGGAUCAGGGCCUCAUGAGGGAGGAAGGGGCACGAUUCCAGUUGAUGCUGCUAGUGUGCACAGAAAUUUCGGUUUACCGGACAGAGGGCCACGUCUCAAAUAUGUUGCUGAAAAGGAAGCAGUGAAGGUAUUCAAUGAGAUGUCCGGGCACACCGGGCCCCCAAAGCACCCCAUGGUCACCGAAUUCUGCAAGACGAUCAAAGCAAUGAAGGGAGCAACUGAUGCCAAGUUCCUCAUCGGGUGGCUUGCACUUGCUUUCAGUACUUUUCUAGCUCCUACCACCAGUCUUUCUCCGAGUCCGCGCUGCUACGGGUAUGUGUUGGAGCCUACUUUGCUGUCGAAGAUCAAUGUGUCCUUGUUUGUUGCUGAACACAUAAAUGAAGCAUUCCGGACUUCUUUGGUCUUUCCAGGAAGGGGCACGAUUCCAAUUGAUGCUGCUAGUGUGCAUAGAAUUUUAUGUUUACCGGACAGAGGGCCACGCCUCAAAUAUGUUGUUCAAAAGGAAGCGGUGAAGGUAUUCGAUGAGAUGUUCGGGCACACUAGGCCCCCAAAGCACCCCAUGGUCACCGAAUUCUGCAAGACGAUCAAAGCAAUGAAGGGAGCAACUCAUGACAAGUUCCUCACCGGGUGGCUUGCACUUGCUCUCACUAAUUGCAUAAUUUCCAGCUUCAAGAUCGAGAUUACCUCAUUCAUGGCAGCCACACCAUCUCUUUCUGCCUCUAGUAGAGCCUCAAGAACUAUAAUAUCUGUGCUCAGACUGCUCCCCGGCGGUGUUGCCUCUGAACUGCUACCAUCUGGUAACAUGGAUGGCGCACUGCUUCCACAAAUAGAUUAUGGGGUUGCACAUUGUGUCCUAGUGUGA